rnacentral:snRNA from 1 species
AAAAAGGGCUUCUGUCCUGAGCAACAUACAGAGCAAAUCAUCUGCUCUUUGACAUCAAGAAAUUUCAGAAGAAUAAUUCUUUCAGCAGUAUAGCAACUGGUGACUGCUAGUCCCAAAGCUUUA